AGUUCAAGGAGGUUUGCAGCCUCACGGUGCCCUUGGAUCUUUGCAACAGUCCCUUGAAAAUGGUAGAAUCUGGAUGCUUUUAUACAGAUGCAUUUAUUAGGUUUAAUAAACAUAUUACUUUUUCAGGCAUCACGUCUUUCAAACAGACGUUUUUGUUGAUCAACAUACAAUAAAGCUUUUUAAGAGUUUAUAUAAUCUACACUAAAUCUUUCACAAAAGCUAGGAGUAGAAUAUAAUAGCACCAAUUACUUUAAUUUUCUCUUUACCAUAGGGCAAGAGUAAAUACCCUGCAUUUUUACAGUGCUUUAUACUUGGCCAGAAAAAACCAAACCUACAUUUAAUUCCCAAUAUAAUAGGCUCAUCCAGCAACCUUUUGAGGUGAGGGAAACAAGACUUAUUAUCUCAAGUUUACAGGUUGAGGAAAUAAAGGCUUAUAUAAGCAAAAUAAUUUGUUCAGAGUUGCAAAUACCUGGUAGAUAGCAGAGGUAGAGUUUGAUUAAAGUUUCCGACUUUUAAAAUGACAGAACUCAAUUUCUUUCUUAAAAUUAUGCUUUUUUGACAUAGAUACAGAAAGACAAGUGCCUACAUAUGGUCCUCCUCAAACUCUGCCAUUCACCAUCCAUUUUUCUCAUGUCCUGCAGGAAAGGAUCCCCCACCCCACGUCGCCACACAACUUUUUGACUCAUAUUUCUCACUCUUCUCUCCAGUUGCUUCCAUGGGAGCAGAGAGGCUGACCACAGUCUUGGGCAGCUCCAGUGGGCCUGGCGUGGCACUGCGCACAGAGCUGAGUGGGUCUGGCAGGUGGCAGAAUGUGACCUCACCUAAUGAGUAGGAAGGGAGGGCUUCCUGGACAAUUUCUCACGUUCUCAGAAUAAAUGAGAAUGAGGGCUGGGCAUGGUGGUUCACACCUGUAAUCCCAGCACUUUGGGAGGCUGAGGUGGGUAGAUUGCUUGAGCCCAGGAGUUCAAGACCUAUACAAAUAAUAAGAAUAAUUUAAAAAGCCAGGCAUGGUGGCACACACCUGUAAUCCCAUCUACUCAGAAGGCUGAGGCAGGAGGGUCACUUGAGCCCGGAGGUCAAGGCUACAGUGAGCCAUGAUUACACCAAUGCACUCAGCCUGAGCAACAGAAUGAGACUCUGUCCAAAAAAAAAAAAGAAAAAAAAGAAAAGAAAAAAGCUGGGCACAGUGGCUCACGCUUGUAAUCCCAGCAAUUUGUGAGGCUGAGGUGAGAGGAUUGCUUGAGUCCAGGAGUUCGAGACCGUACUGGACAACAUAGUGAGGCCCUGGCUCUAUGAAAAAUACAAAAACUUAGCCAGGUGUGAUGGUACGUACUUGUAAUCCCAGCUGCCUGGGGGGCUGUGGUGGGAGGAUCACCUGAGCCUAGGAGAUCAAGGCUUCAAUAAGCAGAGAAGGUACUGCUGUACUCCAGCCUGGGUGACACAGCAAAUCCCUGUGUCAGAAAGGAAAUGAAAGGAAAGAAAAGGAAAGGAAAGGGAAGGGAAGGGAAAAAAUGAGAGUAGCCACAUGAUUCUGUCAUUUAAAUCUCACAGGGUAACAGAAGCAAAUCAUCAGUGCCUGUCUUUGAACUUGAUGAAACUGUCUCAGCCUCAUGACCUGUGGUACUAGACAGAGACCACAACACCUUGUCUAUCCAGAGUGUGGGAGCACUGUGUGCAGUUAGCUCCUGGAGGCUUGUCCUCAGUAGGCUUAGGGCAUGAGGAGCCCUGGAAAGCCCAGGACCCCAUGGAGGGCCCUGGAGAAACAGCACCUGUGGCUGAGGGGUUCACAGGCCCAGCGAGAUCCACUCAGGUGAGGUCACCUGUAGAGGUCAUGCUGCGGAGUCCCGAGUCCCUGAUUAUAUUCAAGACGUGGAGCUCUCUUUUUCCCGUCCUGCUUUCUUUCCAGAAGUGCCUCAGAUGCAUCCUCCCCUUCUCUUUUCUCCACAUGAAGACGUCACUGACCAUCUUCUCUGGUUUGCUUUCCAACACCGAGCACCAAGUGCUUCAAAGGUCAUGGUGCCCUGGGGCCGAGAGCUACUUAUGUGGGCAUUUAUAACCAAAUAAAUAUUGAAAUGGCCCACAAAGCAAAUGUUAGUGGUAACCAACAGCGGUAAAACUGGGUACAUGGGACCCUGAACCUUCUUGAAUAUUCCCCAUGAGACCCUGGGCCGACCUUCGGGCUUUCCAGUGUGCUCAGAAAAUCCUCCGUGGCUCCCAGCCCCAGCUUAGUCUUUCAACGGUCCUCGGACUGAAGCAAGAGACAGGGAAGGAAUUGUCCAAGGUUUUCCAGCAUGCUGAGAACACUUACCAUGGUGGAGCCUGGCACGUACUGGCUCUUUGAUGCAUGUGUAUUGGUCUCAAGUAGCCAGAAGCAUCUCCUCUGAGAGCCCUUGCCCUCCAGUUUAAAUGGCAAAUGGAAGGGAAUGGGUUCUGGAAGGCCCCAGGUGGGCUGGGGUGGGUUCUGGAGACCAUCUUCCAACUCCUGUUCAGGAGGAGGGUUGGUCAGAUCAGCUCUGUGGCCACCUGGGCUCUGGAGGGGCGAGAUACGGGCAGGUGCGGCCACAGGAGGGAGAGCACCAUGUGCGGGGGAAGCCCACAGCUGGAACCAAAAGGCCCCAGGAGGGAUCCUGGCUCUGACAUCUCCCAGCCGUGUGGCCUUGGGCAAGGUCCCUGACUUGGACCUCAGCCUCCUCAUCUGUAAAACAGGCAGAACAGUAAUACCGACCUUGUAGGUUGUAUAGAGUUCAUAUACAUCAAGCACUUACCACAGUGCCUGGCGGACCGCAUGCCCUAAACACACAAUCCGUGAAAUGAAUCCAUCAGCAAGCAGCUGCUAGGGGCAGUGUGGGGCAGAGAGGCAGCUGCCUGCUGGAACUGGCUGACAGGAGGAUGAGUGUGUGGCAGGAGGAACGCUCUGCACAGAGGACACUAGGUAGCGUCACCUGUCUCUUACCCUGUGUCUCCACUGGAAUGGAAUGUCAGACUCGCACCAUGCAUUCCUUUCCCUGCCAAAACGCCUCCUCUUAGCAGUGAGCAAGAAAGUUGUUCGAGUGGAUGAAGCCAAAAGCCCAUUUGGCAAGAGUGCUGUUUUGGAAAAUGCUUAGCGGUGUGGGUUGGGAUGAGGUUUUCUGUGCCUUUCCAUUAUUUCUUCAGCUUCAUGUAACCCUGACUGAGCAAUGCUCAGCAGAGUGAAGGCUGGGCAGCAGAUGGACAAGAUUUUCUCAAACUCCUUUUUAAGCCAAUUUCAAAAUAGAGAGAGGGAAAAAUCCUUGUUUUCUCUUUUCGGUUUUGAGAGGUUUCAUAUGCAGACACAAUUUUAAAUUUUAUUUUUUUUGCCCCCAAUGAGAUGUUUGGAGAUGGUGGUACUAGAACAGGAAGGAAUUUAUAAGUAUUGGGGAAUUUUUCAUCCCAAUUCCCAUAUCCUCCUAUAAUUCAAGGAGUGAAUGGGUAGUGUUUUUGUUUUUGUGAGAGGGGUGGCGGAGGGUAGAGAGAGAAAGAGAGAGAGACAGAGAGAGAUUACAUAGAGGUGUCCAAAAUGAACACAGUAAAAACCAGUUUUGAUUAAUUCUGCAAUAUUAAGUAGGCAGCCAAAAAUUUUGGUCUGCUUAAUUCUUAGCUCAUCUAAGUCUCCAGUUGACUGAUUGAUUGAUUGAAUGACUUAUUCAACAUGCGCUAGCCAGACACUGGUCUAGGGCCCAGGAAUUCAGCAAUAAAUGAAACAAGACCAA
rnacentral:lncRNA from 1 species